rnacentral:RNase_P_RNA from 1 species
GAAGCUGGCUAGACAGUCGCCGUUCACAUUUAACUUGCCAGUUUACUGGCAUAGAUAAAUGGGGAAGCCCCCUGCGGGCUCUCUGUAAGUGAAGGGAGGAAAGUCCGGGCUGCAUAGAGCAAGAUGACGGCUAACGGCCGUCCGUCGAAAACUUUAAUGGCGCAAGCCUUGAAGCAUAAGGCGCGGAAUAGGGCCACAGAGACGAGCGUAUUCAGUUACGGUGAAACGCGGUAACCUCCAUCUGCAGCAAGACCAAAUAGGCUGGCAUUUUUACGCAAGUAAAUAAGGCGUGGUUCGCGCUGCCAGCGGGUAGGUUGCUUGAGCGUACGAGUAAUUGUGCGCCUAGAUGAAUGACUGUCAGCUUUAGCAAUAAAGCCUACAAAACCCGGCUUAUCGGCCAGCUUCAAUU